UCCAGCAGCCGCGGUAAUACGUUCCCGGGCCUUGUACACACCGCCCGUCACAUCACGAAAGUCGGUUGCACUAGAAGUCGGUGGGCCAACCCGCAAGGGAGGCAGCCGCCUAAAGUGUGAUCGGUAAUUGGGGUGAAGUCGUAACAAGGUAGCUGUAGGAGAACCUGCGGCUGGAUCACCUCCUUUCUAAGGAGCAUUCUCCGCCUCGGAUCCAAACGAGGUCGUGAAGGCGACACCGUCUAGGUGUCGACCGAGUUUGCCCUAGGUCGACAGGAAUCGCCGUACGUUGACCUGCUUGUAUUUCCUGUUCAGUUUUCAGAGAGCCGCCCCUCCGCGCUCUAUGACAAUCGAACGCUGCGGAAAUGAAGGUGGCUGGCGAAUCGGCUAUCGAUCGACGCGCUGCUCCAGGGUAAGCGGGCCUAUAGCUCAGUUGGUUAGAGCGCACGCCUGAUAAGCGUGAGGUCGGUAGUUCAAAUCUACCUAGGCCCACCAUUCCGGCUGACUCCGGAAUUGAAAAUUGCGCAACUGAAAAAUUGAAAAUCCGCCGGAGCGCAUUUUCAAUUUUCAAUUCUCAAUUUUCGAUCCGGACCGGGGCUGUAGCUCAGCUGGG
rnacentral:misc_RNA from 1 species